CAGCCGCCGCGGUAAUACAGAGGGUGCGAGCGUUAAUCGGAUUUACUGGGCGUAAAGCGUGCGUAGGCGGCUUCUUAAGUCGGAUGUGAAAUCCCUGAGCUUAACUUAGGAAUUGCAUUCGAUACUGGGAAGCUAGAGUAUGGGAGAGGAUGGUAGAAUUCCAGGUGUAGCGGUGAAAUGCGUAGAGAUCUGGAGGAAUACCGAUGGCGAAGGCAGCCAUCUGGCCUAAUACUGACGCUGAGGUACGAAAGCAUGGGGAGCAAACAGGAUUAGAUACCCCGGUAGUCCCUGUCUCUUAACA
rnacentral:rRNA from 1 species